rnacentral:lncRNA from 1 species
UCUUGGGACUCUUCUGAGGUCUUCCUGGGAGCAGAACAGUACACAUGGUCUGGAAUUGGGUUGCUUGGAAUAACUUUCCAGGAAAGCCACUGAAUAAAGUGCCCUGCAUUCCUGUCCAUUGGCUACUGAUAAUGCUAUAAGAUGAUCUUUCUCUUCUUUAUUUUGUUUGAGGUUAUUAUUGUGACUCUCUGGCUAACUCCUACUUAUCCUCAGGCCUUUUCUGAACUCACAAUUCAAAUUACAGCUCCCUUUGGUUCUCUUCCACAGCAGUUGUACUUACAUAUGUCUAUUUAUAUAAUUAUGAAUUUGUUUCAUAUUUGUCGCCCUUUACAUGGUAAACUUAAUGAAUUUUGGGGCUCCAUCUGUUUUGCUCACCACUUGAUCCUUGGCAUGUAGCACACAAUGGCUGCUCAAUACCUAUUUACUGAAUGAGCAAAUGGGCUGGACCACUUUUAGAGACUGGAGAUAUUUGGCAAGAGAUUUUGGCAUUUAGUGGGUACUACAGGGGAAAAUGUUAUCAACAAUUGCUUAUAAGACUGAUUUUGGCGCGUAUGUUUUGUAUUCCUUCGGGGUUUUUUUGUUUGUUUGUUUGUUUUUAAUGAAUCCCUGGAAAUUAUCACCAGACCGACUCAAAAUUACAAAGUUUUUCAGAGCUUAUACACCUUCUAAGCUAUAUGUCUGGGAUUACAGGCGUGAGCCAAGUGCUGGGAUUACAGGCGUGAGCCACCAUGCCCGGCCAAUGCGUACCUUUAUUGCUACACCAUGGUGUUGAAUAUUAUUAUGUAUAAAUAACUAUUGGUUUCAUACAAUAGAAGAUU